ACACUGGUGGUGAAACGGUAUCAUGCUUGCCUUCCAAUCGGCAUCUCGCGAGCAAGCGGCAGGGGUUCGACUCCCCUUCAGUGUA